rnacentral:rRNA from 1 species
CAGUAGCCACGGGAAUACGAAGGGUGCAAGCGUUAAUCGGGAUUACUGGGCGUAAAGCGUGCGUAGGCGGUUUGUUAAGUCUGUUGUGAAAUCCCCGGGCUCAACCUGGGAAUGGCAAUGGAUACUGGCAAGCUAGAGUGUGUCAGAGGAUGGUGGAAUUCCCGGUGUAGCGGUGAAAUGCGUAGAUAUUCGGAAGAACACCAGUGGCGAGGGCGGCUUACUGGCUCAUACUGGACGCUGAGGUGCGAAAGCGUGGUGAGCAAACAGGAUUAGAUACCCCAGUAGUCCCUGUCUCUUAUAC